CUGAGAUAUGGGGAGCGCCUCUGCCCCGCCGCCCCAUCUGGGAUGCGAGGAGCGCCUCUGCCCGGCCGCGACCCCGUCUGGGAGUUGUUCAUGUAUUCUAGAGGAAAAGAAAGGAAUAUCAUUAUAUACUGCUUAUGGGAUUCUGUGCUGCGGAGAUCAUUACGGAAGCAACAGUAGCAGGUGGCCUGGCCAUACAGGGAUUCCUUACUCGCAGCAGAGAAUGUUGCUGCCACUCAAAGUCACCAGGGGCUGAAGAGCUCCUGUGGAGACCCACAUCAUCUAACAACACACAUACUCAAAACAGGGAAAUGUGCAUUUUCGGGAGAGGAAGAGACAAACCUUUUGUUUAGCUAACUGGCAUGACAGAGUGUGACAUACAUGUGCUCCUGGAAGAACGGUGUUGGGUGUCUGCACUCAAAAUCUUGAGCAUAGGCAACUGGAUGAAGGGCUCUGUGGCAUUGAUUUUCAUUGUGUGUGUGUUAAUAUUUACAUUUAUAAUUAAAUAAAUAAUCGAAAUUAUGCUGAACUGAAAAAA
rnacentral:lncRNA from 1 species